rnacentral:tRNA from 1 species
UGUGGGUGUAGCUGAGUGGUAGAGCACUUGCCUAGCAUGCAUGAGACACUGGAUUCAAUCCCCAGCCCCCCAA